rnacentral:rRNA from 1 species
UACAGAGGAUGCAAGCGUUAAUCGGAAUUACUGGGCGUAAAGCGUGCGCAGGCGGUGAUGUAAGACAGAUGUGAAAUCCCCGGGCUCAACCUGGGAACUGCAUUUGUGACUGCAUCGCUGGAGUACGGCAGAGGGGGAUGGAAUUCCGCGUGUAGCAGUGAAAUGCGUAGAUAUGCGGAGGAACACCGAUGGCGAAGGCAAUCCCCUGGGCCUGUACUGACGCUCAUGCACGAAAGCGUGGGGAGCAAACGGG